rnacentral:rRNA from 1 species
ACGCUCGACACCUACGGGAGCAGCAGUGGGGAAUAUUGCACAAUGGGGGAAACCCUGAUGCAGCGACGCCGCGUGGAGGAAGAAGGUCUUCGGAUUGUAAACUCCUGUUGUUGGGGAAAAAGAGGAUGGUACCCAACAAGGAAGUGACGGCUAACUACGUGCCGAGAGCCGCCGGUAAUCUGAGCGGGCUGGCAAGGC